rnacentral:rRNA from 1 species
CCUACCUGAUCCGAGGUCAAAGGUUGAAAAAAAGGCUUGCUGGACGCUGACCUUGGCUGGCGAAGAGCGCGACUUGUGCUGCGCUCCGAAACCAGUAGGCCGGCUGCCAAUGACUUUAAGGCGAGUCUCCAGCGAACUGGAGACAAAAGACGCCCAACACCAAGCAAAGCUUGAGGGUACAAAUGACGCUCGAACAGGCAUGCCCUUUGGAAUACCAAAGGGCGCAAUGUGCGUUCAAAGAUUCGAUGAUUCACUGAAUUCUGCAAUUCACACUACGUAUCGCAUUUCGCUGCGUUCUUCAUCGAUGCCAGAACCAAGAGAUCCGUUGUUGAAAGUUGUAAUUAAUUACGUUGUUACUGACGCUGAUUGCUAUUGCAAAAGGUUUGUGGUUGGUCCUGAGGGCGGGCGAGCCCACCCAGGAAACAAGAAGUACGCAAAAGACACGGGUGAAUAAUUCAGCAGGGCCGGCCCCGCCGCGCACGCCGUGAAGCAGUGCCCAGCGGGGGGUGUCCAACCCGCCUUGUUAUUGUGUAAUGAUCCCUCCGCAGGUUCACCUACGGAA